GGCGGACGGGUGAGUAACGCGUAGGAAUCUGCCUAGAGAGGGGGACAACAUGUGGAAACGCAUGCUAAUACCGCAUACGCCCUGAGGGGGAAAGGAGGGGACUUUUCGGAGCCUUCCGCUAUUAGAUGAGCCUGCGUGAGAUUAGCUAGUUGGUAGGGUAAAGGCCUACCAAGGCGACGAUCUCUAACUGGUCUGAGAGGAUGACCAGUCACACUGGGACUGAGACACGGCCCAGACUCCUACGGGAGGCAGCAGUGGGGAAUAUUGGACAAUGGGCGGAAGCCUGAUCCAGCCAUGCCGCGUGUGUGAAGAAGGCCUUAGGGUUGUAAAGCACUUUCAGGGGUGAGGAAGGGUAACUGGCUAAUAUCCAGUUAUCUUGACGUUAGCCCCAGAAGAAGCACCGGCUAACUCUGUGCCAGCAGCCGCGGUAAUACAGAGGGUGCAAGCGUUAAUCGGAAUUACUGGGCGUAAAGCGCGC
rnacentral:rRNA from 1 species